UAGGGAGUUAGUGACUGACUGUUCCUGAGCCUGAGCAGAGCGUGAUCUGAAGAGCUGGGUGCAAACCUCCUCAUCACUCACACCAUCACAUUUUACUCCAAGUGGGUUCCUUCUCAUGGUGUUCUAUGCCAUGCACGCUGAGAGACUGUUGACAGUGUCAAGUUCAGCAGCAAAGCGGGCCAUGAUGUGUGCAUGUCUACAAGGUCAAGCUUCCAUGAGGGCCACAAGUACUGACGAGAGAGGCCAAAAUCCUUAAAUGAUGUAUGUGGGCCAUUUGCAAAGAAUGUGCUGUUUCACAGAAGAGACUGGGAUAUGCGCAGAUACAAAGGGAUGCCUGUACUUUCAGGAAGCGGAGGGCAGACAAUUUUUCAUUGAGACUGCCAUCACAGGUGUUUCUGAGGAAAGCUUUCCAGGAUGUCAAUAGCAGAUGAGAACAUCAGAGGUAAAGUCUGGAGGAGAAAUGAUCACGCACACUGCAGAGCUUCAUGAAGGUGAAACACAAUGCAUCUUGCUUCUACAAAAAGAAAAGGUGUUUGUGUACAGCUAUAAAAAACCUUUGGAAAAGAAGACAGAGGAGGACACCAAUAGCUACAAUUGAGUUUGUCUACGAAAUCAAGUUCAUACACGUCUGAACUCCCUUCUGGCUUGUCAUCAGAGAGCACUAUUAGCUCAUAGCUCAUCUCUCGCAUGCCUGAAAAGCAGGAAGCUCUCUACAUCUGUUUUAUGAGACACUCAGUCUGCUGUGUGCCCCUCAGUCCCUACAAAACACAGGUAUAAGCUCUUUCCAUUCUUGAAUUGAGACAUGCCCUACACACACCGACGUCAGACCAGAGCCAGGAUGAUGCUGUGUGGAAGAAGCCAAUCCACGCGUGUCUUACACACUGGGCACCAAGCAGGACAUAGCUUCUGAACUCUGUGCAGCAGUUUGGAGAUGGAGAUGAGCAUCACAUAGCAAGUUUGGAGACGAGCAUCACAUAGCUAUGAUAGCUAUUCUUGGAAAAAUAUCAAUUCACCCCUAUUCUAAAAUGGCCUCCACAUUUGUGAUCCUAUCAUGGCUACCCCAUUUUCUGACUAGCAAAAAUGAUGAAGAAAGCAAGAAACAGCAUGAAGAGAAAAGGCCAAGCACCCAGAGUCUCCGGAAACACAUGAGAAAUGUGAUCUCUUAGCUUUUACAUUUUCAAAACAAAGGAUCAUGGUGGUUUAUCUCAAAGACUGGAAAAUAAACAUAAAAGACUAAUCAGCAAGACCAUGGGAGAAAAUAUGAAUAUAAAAACCCUUGGAGCUCGGCAGCAGAGAAUACGUUUGUGGAGGUCGUCAUUCUGAUGUCAGAUACUACCAUCAAACUCCUUCCAGGUGUUCAUCCUAUCAAAAGGACUCACUUCCCAGGAGGAAAGAAGACUGUGGAGGAGCUUGGGGACCAACUGAUAGUCCCAAAGUGGGUGGCUCUUGAACCGUGACUGAGAGAAAAGGGGACAGGGCUCUCAUGGUAUAGCCCAAGAUGGCCCGCAGAGUUGUAAUCCUGCUGGAACAGCCUCCAAGUGCUAAGAUUAUAAGGACACUCCACCAUGUCUAGACCUCUUUCCUUUUUCUGUCUUUUCAGUGUCCCUAGAGUAUUAUUGUACAGGCAAUAAAAGUAUCCAUGGAGACUCAGGGUUUCCACGUCCAAGUGAGCCUGAUACUCUGCCAGCUUCCUGCAUGGCUGAAUUAUACAGACAUGAUGGCCCCACCGUGUUCCGGCUGAGAAUCGCAGGUAAUGUCCUGCUCCCACUUGCCUGGCAUGCGACACUUCAGAAGGAAGAGACUCAGCCUGCAGAGGUCCCAGCUUUGUUUUCAGCACAUAAAAUAUCUGAAGAGACACACUGGGAACUCGCAGAAGUUUCCAGGGAAUUAUUUCAUUCCACUGACAAAAAUAUUUCCGUUUGGAAGCAAGCUAGCCUGUGCGUUGUGAGCUACAUGUUACAAAAGCAGAUCUUU
rnacentral:lncRNA from 1 species